rnacentral:tRNA from 1 species
GAGGGUAUAGCUCAAGCGGUAGAGUGUGUGCUUAGUAUGUAUAAAGUCCUGCGUUCAAUCCCCAGUACCUCCU